AGUGUUUCCUUGUUUAAAAUUCCCGGAGGUGAAGCUUUACAAUGGAUCAGAGCGGUCAAGCACACAUGGAUCCCGACUACAUGUCAACCGGCAGUUUUCGGUGAGAAAAUUGUGGUAAUAAGUCGCCUCUUACCGGAGAUCAGCGGAGCUUCUGUCCUGCUGCAGCUUCGUGACUUCCCUCAGAGACUGGCGUCAACACAUCCGUGGACACACCCCUUCAACUAUCAGUCCUUCACUCUAAAUUUCCUCAUCCACGAAUCUUUCAUCCUCGCUGAAAUUAACGAGGAAAUUGUCGCUUUCUCGGUCCAAAUCGCUCUAGCUGCUGGUGGCCAUGAUUGUAAACAAUGUGAGGAUGUGAGGAGCCCUCACACCGGUUACGUCAUCGUCUGCUACUUCCGGUACAGGCAAGGCUAUUUUAUUAGCGACCAAAAGUUGCGAACUUUAUCGUCGAUGUUCUCUACUAAAUCCUUUCAGAUCUUUUCAUCGCAUAAUUACACAGUAAUUUGGACUUCUGUGUUGCUGAAUAUUUAGCAAUUUGUUCAAUUAAUAAUAGAGAAGUCAAAGUAGAAAGAUGAAGGUGGGAAGCUUUUAGCUUUUAGCCACACAAACACACGGUGAUUCCUUGUUUAAAAUUCCAGUAGGUGAAGCUUUACUAUGGAUCAGAGCGGUCAAGCACACAUGGAUCCCGACUACAUGUCAACCGGCAGUUUUCUGUGAGAAAAUUGUGGUAAUAAGUCGCCUCUUACCAGAGAUCAGCGGAGCUUCUGUCCUGCUGCAGCUUCGUGACUUCCCUCAGAGAUUGGCGUCAACACAUCCGUGGACACACCCCUUCGACUAUCAGGUACUAUUUAACUCACUAAAACACUAGCAACACAAUAGAAAGAUAAGGGAUUUCCCAGAAUUAUCCUGGUAAAUGUGUCUAAAAACAUCUGAAUCUCUCCCAAUGUAAUCGCCUUUUUUUUUCUAGUCCUUCACUCUAAAUUUCCUCAUCUACGAAUAUUUCAUCCUCGCGCAAAUUAAUGAGGAAAUUGUCGCUUUCUCGGUCCAAAUCGCUCUAGCUGCUGGUGGCCAUGAUUGUAAACAAUGUGAGGAUGUGAGGAGCCCUCACACCGGUGACGUCAUCGUCUGCUACGUCAGGAGGUGAAGCUUUACUAUGGAUCAGAGCGGUCAAGCACACAUGGAUCCCGACUACAUGUCAACCGGCAGUUUUCUGUGAGAAAAUUGUGGUAAUAAGUCGCCUCUUACCAGAGAUCAGCGGAGCUUCUGUCCUGCUGCAGCUUCGUGACUUCCCUCAGAGACUGGCGUCAACACAUCCGUGGACACACCCCUUCGACUAUCAGGUACUAUUUAACUCACUAAAACACUAGCAACACAAUAGAAAGAUAAGGGAUUUCCCAGAAUUAUCCUGGUAAAUGUGUCUAAAAACAUCUGAAUCUCUCCCAAUGUAAUCGCCUUUUUUUUCCUAGUCCUUCACUCUAAAUUUCCUCAUCCACAAAUAUUUCAUCCUCGCUGAAAUUAACGAGGAAAUUGUCGCUUUCUCCAAAUCGCUCUAGCUGCUGGCGGCCAUUAUUGUAAACAAUGUGAGGAUGUGAGGAGCCCUCCCACCGGUGAGGUCAUCGUCUGCUACUUCCGGAGGUGAAGCUUUACUAUGGAUCAGAGCGGUCAAGCACACAUGGAUCCCGACUACAUGUCAACCGGCAGUUUUCGGUGAGAACAUUGUGGUAAUAAGUCGCCUCUUACCGGAGAUCAGCGGAGCUUCUGUCCUGCUGCAGCUUCGUGACUUCCCUCAGAGACUGGCGUCAACACACCCGUGGACACACCCCUCCGACUAUCAGGUACUAUUUAACUCACUAAAACACUAGCAACACAAUAGAAAGAUAAGGGAUUUCCCAGAAUUAUCCUGGUAAAUGUGUCUAAAAACAUCUGAAUCUCUCCCAAUGUAAUCGCCUUUUUUUUUUUUCCUAGUCCUUCACUCUAAAUUUCCUCAUCCACGAAUCUUUCAUCCUUGUGCAAAUUAAUGAGGAAAUUUUCGCUUUCUCGGUCCAAAUCGCUAUAGCUGCUGGUGGCCAUGAUUGGAAAUAAUGUGAGGAUGUGAGGAGCCCUCCCACCGGUGAGGUCAUCGUCUGCUACUUCCGGUACAGGCAAGGCUGUUUUAUUAGCGACCAAAAGUUGCGAUGUUCUCUACUAAAUCCUUUCAGCGAAAAUAUGGAAAUA